AUAUAAAAUCUUACCUGUAUUUUUCUCCUUCGGAUGUGUAUGUUAUUUUCCUUUCUGCCUUUUCCGCGAUCGAAUAUAUUCCAUAUUUAUGGUGUAAUAUUAUAUCGCUAUCACCAUAAUACUUCAAUCUACAAAAAAAUACACUAUCAUAAAUCAGAAUGAGAGAUGAAGAGAAGUUAGAGGAAGAAGUUAGAGGAGAAGAAGAAGAAGAAAAAGUUAUAGAAAUAUCAACGCACGCUGUACAUAGAUUACCAAGGAAGAUACUGAGUUCAGAGUUAAGAAAAUAUUCGAUAACAUACCAUUGAUAUUGAAGGCAUAUUCCGUCGUCUUAAUCCGUACCGAGCAGUUUGUAUGAAACUCACAUAUAGGUGUGUAGUCAUGAGAUGUUUAACAAGGUUUCGCAGAGGUACGAUGAAUUUUAUUCGAUUUUAUCGGUGACCGACAUUCUGGAUUCGACUUCCAAUGGAACGAUACGCUAUUUAUAAUAUAUCGAUGUUAAUAUUAAUAAUUUAAUUCGAUGAUCAAUACUAUGAUUUGUUCUAAAUAAAUAAUAAAUUUCUUCUAGAACUUUUCCUCUGGAUAUUGUUCCUUCAUCGUUUACAUCCUUUACCGUUUAAAAAAUCAUCCAUUCUGUAACAGAAAUGUCCAGAGGUGUAAUAAUUGUACACGUUAUGAUUGAAGUGUACAGGUAUCGAGGUGAUCUUUUCAUUAUGUGUAUCAAACAUUUUAUUUAAUAUACACAGAGACUCUAUCUUCGAUUAUCAAAUAAAUAUUGAAGAUAGAAUCUACAUUUUUUUAUUCUACUAUAUAUACUUC